rnacentral:rRNA from 1 species
CUGAACCAGCCAAGUAGCGUGAAGGAUGACUGCCCUAUGGGUUGUAAACUUCUUUUAUAAAGGAAUAAAGUCGGGUAUGCAUACCCGUUUGCAUGUACUUUAUGAAUAAGGAUCGGCUAACUCCGUGCCAGCAGCCGCGAUAAUACGGAGGAUCCGAGCGUUAUCCGGAUUUAUUGGGUUUAAAGGGAGCGUAGAUGGAUGUUUAAGUCAGUUGUGAAAGUUUGCGG